rnacentral:rRNA from 1 species
CUGAAAGGAAGAUUAAUCCAGGAUGGGAUCAUGAGUUCACAUGUCCGCAUGAUUAAAGGUAUUUUCCGGUAGACGAUGGGGAUGCGUUCCAUUAGAUAGUAGGCGGGGUAACGGCCCACCUAGUCAACGAUGGAUAGGGGUUCUGAGAGGAAGGUCCCCCACAUUGGAACUGAGACACGGUCCAAACUCCUACGGGAGGCAGCAGUGAGGAAUAUUGGUCAAUGGGCGAUGGCCUGAACCAGCCAAGUAGCGUGAAGGAUGACUGCCCUAUGGGUUGUAAACUUCUUUUAUAAAGGAAUAAAGUCGGGUAUGCAUACCCGUUUGCAUGUACUUUAUGAAUAAGGAUCGGCUAACUCCGUGCCAGCAGCCGCGGUAAUACGGAGGAUCCGAGCGUUAUCCGGAUUUAUUGGGUUUAAAGGGAGCGUAGAUGGAUGUUUAAGUCAGUUGUGAAAGUUUGCGGCUCAACCGUAAAAUUGCAGUUGAUACUGGAUGUCUUGAGUGCAGUUGAGGCAGGCGGAAUUCGUGGUGUAGCGGUGAAAUGCUUAGAUAUCACGAAGAACUCCGAUUGCGAAGGCAGCCUGCUAAGCUGCAACUGACA